rnacentral:rRNA from 1 species
UAAGGGAGGGGGAAUCCCUAACCGUGCGAAGGUAGCGUAAUCACUUGCUCUCUAAAUCAGGACUUGUAUGAACGGCACCACGAGGGUUAUACUGUCUCCUUUUCCAAUUAGUGAACUUAAUCUUCCCGUGAAGAAGCGGGAAUGACCUUAUAAGACGAGAAGACCCUAUGGAGCUUUAAACAUUUAGCAUCUGCACAUACCUUAAUAUUUCAGAAAUUAUUAGCCCGCAUAAUGACUAGAAGUUUUAGGUUGGGGUGACCACGGAGUAAAACGCAUCCUCCACGAUGAAAGACCUACACUUCUUAACUAAGAAACACAUCUCUAAGUAUCAGCACACUGACAUUUAUUGACCCAAUACACUUGAUCAACGAACCAAGUUACCCUAGGGAUAACAGCGCAAUCCAUUUUAAGAGCUCCUAUCGCCAAAUGGGUUUACGACCUCGAUGUUGGAUCAGGGUAACCCAGCCGCUCUAAAG